rnacentral:rRNA from 1 species
UGGGGAAUUUUGGACAAUGGACGAAAGUCUGAUCCAGCGACGCCGCGUGAGUGAUGAAGGCCUUCGGGUUGUAAAACUCUUUUAGCAGGAACGAAAAAAAUGACGGUACUUGCAGAAAAAGCACCGGCUAACUCCGUGCCAGCAGCCGCGGUAAUACGGAGGGUGCAAGCGUUAUUCGGAUUUACUGGGCGUAAAGCGCGUGUAGGCGGCUUGAUAAGUCUGAUGUGAAAUCCCUGGACUCAAUUCAGGAAGUGCAUUGGAUACUGUCAGACUAGAGUGCAGGAGAGGAUGGCGGAAUUCCUGGUGUAGAGGUGAAAUUCGUAGAUAUCAGGAGGAACAACAGUGGCGAAGGCGGCCAUCUGGACUGCAACUGACGCUAAGGCGCGAAAGCGUGGGGAGCAAACA